CAGCAGCCGCGGUAAUACGGAGGAUCCAAGCGUUAUCCGGAUUUAUUGGGUUUAAAGGGUGCGUAGGUGGCCUGUUAAGUCAGGGGUGAAAGACGGUAGCUCAACUAUCGCAGUGCCUUUGAUACUGACGGGCUUGAAUGAACUAGAGGUAGGCGGAAUGUGACAAGUAGCGGUGAAAUGCAUAGAUAUGUCACAGAACACCAAUUGCGAAGGCAGCUUACUAUGGUUUUAUUGACACUGAGGCACGAAAGCGUGGGGAUCAAACAGGAUUAGAUACCCCUGUAGUCCCUGUCUCUUAUAC
rnacentral:rRNA from 1 species